rnacentral:misc_RNA from 1 species
GAUGAAGAACGUAGCGAAAUGCGAUACGUAAUGUGAAUUGCAGAAUUCAGUGAAUCAUCGAGUCUUUGAACGCACAUUGCGCCCCCUGGUAUUCCGGGGGGCAUGCCUGUCCGAGCGUCAUUGCUGCCCUCAAGCACGGCUUGUGUGUUGGGCCCCCGUCCCCGGUUCUCCCCGGGGACGGGCCCGAAAGGCAGCGGCGGCACCGCGUCCGAUCCUCGAGCGUAUGGGGCUUUGUCACCCGCUCUGUAGGCCCGGCCGGCGCCAGCCGACACCCCAACUUUAUUUUCUAAGGUUGACCUCGGAUCAGGUAGGGAUACCCGCUGAACUUAAGCAUAUCAAUAAGCGGAGGA